ACGGAAGGCAGCAGUGGGGAAUAUUGGACAAUGGGGGAAACCCUGAUCCAGCGACGCCGCGUGAGUGAAGAAGUAUUUCGGUAUGUAAAGCUCUAUCAGCAAGGAAGAAAAUGACGGUACUUGACUAAGAAGCUCCGGCUAAAUACGUGCCAGCAGCCGCGGUAAUACGUACGGAGCAAGCGUUAUCCGGAUUUACUGGGUGUAAAGGGAGCGUAGACGGCGAAGCAAGUCUGAAGUGAAAUCCCGGGGCUCAACCCCGGAACUGCUUUGGAAACUGUUUUGCUAGAGUGCAGGAGAGGUAAGCGGAAUUCCUAGUGUAGCGGUGAAAUGCGUAGAUAUUAGGAGGAACACCAGUGGCGAAGGCGGCUUACUGGACUGUAACUGACGUUGAGGCUCGAAAGCGUGGGGAGCAAACAGGAUUAGAUACCCUGGUA
rnacentral:rRNA from 1 species